AGAUGAGUUCUUGAAAGUGCCUACAUAUUGGUGUGACUAGAAAUGAACAAGGAAGACAUUAGAGUUGAGAUCAGAGAGAGAUCUUGUUGGGCUUAAUCUUGGCAAAUGCUUUUGUUUUCACUCAGAGGAAGCUAAAAAACCAUUAGAGAUUUUAAAGUAGACACAACAUUCUGACUUUUAAAAGAACAACUAUGUUAUUGUACCUGAUUACCCUGAGGCAGAGAUGGAAGAAGCAAGCCCACAGAGUGCAGGGACCAGCGUGGUAGUUGUAGAGGAAAUUAUAAUUAGAUUAUCCAGAAUUAGUAGAUAUUCUUGAAGAGGAAAUUGAGUAUUUGUAGUUAGUUCUAUGUAGUUGUGAGUAAAAGAGAAUUCAAUUAUCCUUAAGAUGUUUUUAUCUGAGCAAUUUGAAAAAAUAGUGAAAUUACCAUUUACUGAGCUGUGGGACUAUGACAGAGAAAGAUAAGGGGGAGAUCAAGAGUUCUGUUUUGAACAUUGAAUUAAAGAUGCCCCUAAAUCAUGUAGUUCUAGUGUUAGGUAAGUGAUUUGAAUAUAUUCAUUUAGAGUUCAGAAGUAAGUCUUGGCUUGGAGAUGUUAGAAAUUAUUCAUGAGAUUCUCAACAUUUGAAGUCAUGUGUCACAAGAUCACCUAGGGAGUGGACAAAAGAUCAAGAGAAGAGAACAAGGAUAGAGCCCCAGGGCAUGUCAAUAUUGCACACAGUGAUGCAAGAGAGAGAGAAAGGGGAUAUCUGCAGGAGUUAUGUCUUUGAGCAGACAAUAGUGGAUGGUGUCAACUGAAUGAGUAGAAUGCCUG
rnacentral:lncRNA from 1 species